UCUUUCUGUUCUACAAGGGAAACCGGGGCUUCGUUAAUGAAACGGGGCUGCCUAGCAGGGUGGUAUGUCCUGAAGUCAGUUCUCCUGGUGUCAACUCUUCAAGGAGAACCCAGGAAGAAGUACUUAAGAAGAGGCAGGGCCAGGCACCGUGGCUCACAUCUGGAAUUGGAGCAUUCAGAAGAUGAGACUUGAGAAUGCCCAGGAGUCCCAGUGAGCUACAGGCCAGUCUGGAUUACGGUUUUAUCACCAGUUAAGCUGGCUGGCUGGCUGUCAGCAAGACCCAGGAGUCUGCAUGGCUUCCCAACCCUAAGGUUACAAGAGCAGAGAGUACGAAGCAGACAUCAGUACACACUCUGGGAAACACCUGAGCAGAGCUCACCUCAAAGGACUGGAAGAUGAGAAAAGUGAGGCUGAGAGGAGCACUUGCCUCAGAGUUGGAGGUGAAAACAAGAUUUGAAGCUUGGCAGUUUGAGAUCCAGACUUUUGGGGCCACUAUCACCUCCACCAUCACCACCAACAACAAAAGGAGCUGGGGUUUGGUUCUGAACACGGCACAGUUUUGGAUACGACACCAAAUGUGCUUUCUGGGAAUGAAAGCGCCAUGUUCCCUUCCUAGCUCAGAAGAUGAGCACAAAUGGAGAUCGCUAAGCACAUUUGUGCUGGUGCCAGGCUUGGCUGUUGGCCUAGGCUAUCAUUUCUGUUCAUUUGGGAAGCUUCCCUUGCCCAGGGAGCCUCCGUAGUGGGGCCACGCGACUCGAUGGGCCAGCCUGACCUUUCUGAACCCCCCU